GAGGGUGUAGCUCAGUGGUAGAGUGUGUGCUUACCGUGCACGAGGCUCUGGGUUCCAAUCCCCAGCACCUCCA
rnacentral:tRNA from 1 species